UAGAAGCCACUGAGUGUGAUGACAACAUGGAUCUGUGGACAGCGUUUCCUUCCUGAGCUGCCGUGACAGAGGGGACAGGGACAGAAGAGGGAAUAUCCUAAUGAAGAAGACUGUAAUAGACUUCUAACUUUGUUUGUCUAAACCAGACAUCAUAUUAGGAUCAGAUACUAAUUGGAGUGUAUUUCUGCACAGACUGAGGACUGCUUGUUCUGAAUCAGCAAUUUUCUUAAAAAAGUCAAAUCUUCAUGUGGCAGAUAAAAGUCUGCUGAGCACCUUCUGAUUCCAUACAAACAGUUAGUGAUCCACAACUCAAAGAAAGACUCCUAAAUUUCCAAUAGUUCCUUUUGCAAGCACAGAAACAAAUGUUUAAUAUAUGAACUCUCCUUCAGAAAGCAAUGAGGUGAUCAGUAGCAGUAGCCAGCUGCCCAGAGAGGUAACCACACCUGCCUGGAAAAUCUCUCAAGCUGUUUGUGUCUGUGAGGGAAUUUAGGCCAGGUUAAUGGAGGUGACCUGUCACACUUAACCUGUCUUCUUACGUCUCCUGUCUCACGCCUCAUGUCUCUGGCAGGGUGCUGCUGAAAACGACACAAAACCGAGGAAGUUGACAUGAUGUGGACGAGUUUAGAGUUAAAUCAAUAUACACCACACGCUUAGUAAAUUAAUUUUAUCAAUUCAAUUGGAUCUGAAAUAACAGUGGUUUUAUUUAUCCGCUUUAUUAUACACUGCUUACAAAUUGUAUGUUUUUGUCAAAUGAUUUUAUGUAAGUUCAGUCCAGGUUGUUGAGUGACUUGUUUUUGCUUUGAUACAUGCGUCACAAAACAUUCAAAAUAACUUUAAUGGCUCUUUUUUGUCAUUAUGACACUGUCUGUUUAAGGCCAAACCAUAUUUUUAGGGAAGUUUAGGGAUAUAAUGUAUUUCUUAUAUGGGGACUAAAAUCAGUUUAGUCACAUUAUGAAGAAAUGCAAAUCCCAACAACUUAAAAUGAUUUAAUAUUAUCGUGGUUUAAGGUUAAAGUUAGGGAAGCGGUUGGUUUUAGGCAUAUAGUGUUUAUGCUUAGGGUGAGUUUCCAGGAAAUGAAUGUAAGUCAACACAGUGUCCCCUCAAUUUGUGUGUAAAGACAUUUCAAAUACUUGAUCCCUAUUAACCUGCCAACACGUCCUGUUUUUGUCAGGUGAAGGAGCAAGACCAGAAGUUGUUUUUGCAUGUAAUAGUCCUUACAAAUUGAUGGUAGUUCCCUCAGUUACGAAAACUAUAUCAAAUGCUUCUUUUGUUAAAUGAAAUGAUCUUGAAUACAGUUGUUAUAAACUUUAAUCAAGGCUUCUGAGCACAUCCCAUGAUCAGUGAUGGCAAUGAAAAUAACCAUGAAUAAAUAAAUAACCUACACACAA